CGUCGCGAUUGGGUGUGAGACAAAACCAGAGACCCCCAAGUCAAACCCUACCCAUUUGCUUGCAGCCGCCGGGUCUGGCCGCAUCCUCCUCUCCCCUCGCGCCCCUCCCAUCCCCGCCGCCAUCUCCCUGUGCUACGGCUCCUCCUCUCCGCCGGCCUCCUCCUCUGCGCCGGCCUCUUCGCAUCUCCUCCCUUUCCCUCGUCCAAGCCUCCUCCUCCCACAACCUCUGCCGCCGCCGUCGUCGUGCCGCCGCUGCUGUGGGAACGGUGGUCGUGCGCCUGGGAGGACAUGCGCGCGGGGAGGACGUUGCCAGGCCGUCGUCGAGCGCCCUAGCGCUUGCAGCACCCCUGCAGCGAGGAGGCGCACAUCGACGCGCGUGAGGAGGGCGCCGCCAGGCUCCUCCAUGGCGUGAGACAGCAGGGGCCGGCCGGAGGGCGCGGAGAUGGCAGCCGACUUCCGGCUGGAGGUUGGAGCAGCAGCAACAUGGAUGCUGCCCGCCAGAAUGGAGGAAGCAGGCCAGUGCACAGCUGGCCGGCAGAAGGGAUCGAAGGUGCAGGGCGCGCGACCUGGAGAAGGGACGCGACGGGGGACCAGCAGGUGGGGAUCUCCUCCGCGACCCCGCCGGCGCUGCAGAUUUAUCAGCGAGGAACGGCGUGUCAGCGUGGUUUCUCUCUUCCCAGGAGGUUGGCAUGGUGGCCAUGGACAAGGAUGGUGCGCUCCACCUCCUCCCCUUCCUGCAGAUCCCAUGCUAGAUUGGUUCUCACGCCCCACAACCUUGCCCUCUAAGAAAGAUGAUGAAGAUCCAUCGGCAUUUUUACUAUUCCUUGUGAUAUGGGGCAGCGGGCACAAUUUCAGCUAAGAGUUGGGAUCAAGGAGGCAGAGAAUUCCUUUAUAGGUUUAUUAAAUGGGCCUUAACUAUCUGAUUUCACCUACCAAUGCAAUGUGAGAGGUACUGUCAUCUCAGAGGAGUUAGAAGAUGUAACGUGUAAUGAGGUAUGCAUGCCCACAGAGCAGUCAAAUUGAUCUUCUAUAUUUGUGUAAAUAGAUUCAAGAUGGUUGCUUUAUAAUUGAGCUCUAUAUAUUACAUUGGUCUUGACUAGGGAAAGUGUUGCAAGAUUUAAUACGUGUUGGCGCCUAUAUAUAGUGCAGAUUUCUGUUAGAUUUAUGAUUCUACUUCUAUUCUUGGUAAUCCUUGAGCUCUGAUAUAAUAUUAUAUUCGGUUGGGUGAAUAUCUUCCUUUCAGUACAGAUUCAGUUCUUAUUGUCUCCAUUCUUUCUUACAUGUCAUGAAUUCAAAUUGGUUGUUUGAAUAUUUGUGGUAGCUUUGAUGGAAUCAAAUCUUAUGUUCUUGUCAUCUUCUCUGUUUUCUCUUACACAUUAUGUUCUUGCUGUACCAUCGCAUGCUCUUUAUAUUAUUGUAUGCUAUACUUGAUUUAUUGAUGCUUCAAUGAUUUUUGAACUGUAGGUUUCAUUUGUUGAGAGGUUAGUUCAUGAUAAAACAGAGUAUGGUGGAUACGGAUUCUCUCAGCUAAAUUAAUUUAGUCCUGCACGAUAAGUGGUGGGCCUUUAGAAUUGUUCUUAGAGCAGUGAGCAACUACUAUGUACUUCCACUUAUUUCUUAUGAUAUUUCUAGAACCUAUUAUGAUGCAUACCUUAAGAAAUGCAUCGAUGGUUUCAGUCUAAAACUCUGGGUUGUGCAUUCAUUUUUAGGUUGAUCAGUAUCACACUUGCUGGAGUUCCCCUGUCUCCCCUGGUCUUUUAGUUCUAUUCAGAUUUAGCGAUGCACCUACAAUACAGGUGAUAAAAAUUUGACCAGUCGCUUUUACAACUGCAGAUUACUAAGUUGGAAGCAUGUCGCGCCCAGCAGACUGCAAGGCGACCCAGCCUCAUGAGCCCUUCAACGCAGCGAUAUCGGUCUGUGCCAUCAUGUCGUAUGCUAAGGUGAUGAAGAUCGAUUGGUCUCUUGGAUUUCUUGUGAUAUGAGGGUUCAUGGUCUAUGACUAGAGUUGGGAAGAAAUCCAUGUUCUUCAGAUCGUGGUUAUCAGAGUAGUGUUUUAUUGGGGCUUAUUUUUAACCAUCUUUGUUGGCACUCUGGUUAAAUUGUUCAAAGAUUAUCUUGAUUUGGUUUGUGUCUGUGCACUAUGUUCAUUCUGGAGAAUUUUUUUGUCAACCUUGCAGAGUCCGAAGACAUUGCACGGAGCCAAGGUUUGAGUUGAGCAGUUCAUUUUCAGUUGGCGCACGAAACCUACCGUCAACCAAGAUUCAGCAUAUGAUGGGCAAUCACGCCAAGGACAACAUGAAUUUUGGAUUCAAUAAUGCUUACCCUUUCCUUCAGUUUUUAGUUCUUCCUCUGGAUAUUGGACUACUGUUGAAGCAAUCUUCUGAUAUGUCAUGAAUCGAUGUGAAUUGUGAUGCCUCCAGUUUAGAAGAAACUUAUAUAUAUCAAUACCGACCUUGAUCCAUUUUUAGUAAGUCGGUGAUCUUUCAUUUAUUGCAAGGUUGCUAGAUUUCAUUGGUUCUGUCAUGCAAUGGUAGCCAUUAUUAGGGGUAACGGGAUCUGAUCAAAUAGCAGAUGAUACUGUGAUAACAAGUAAUAUUUCUCUUCUUCCCCUUUUAGAAGAAGCCUUUGGUCAACACCGUGAUUUUGUUCUUAGGAAAGCCUAGCUCUCAAUAAUGAGAGUGUAACUUGGUCUUAUAAAUUAAUGGAAAACUCUAGGUUUUAGUACUUCUAAGGUAUACUAUGGAAAUCAUGAAAAAUUAUAGCACAUUUUUUGUACAAUACAUAAGAUCUGCUCCAGCGUAAGAGCUUCCUUUUGGAAGAUUGUGUCUUGUGCAGUGAAGUUGAUACAGAGAAAAUAUAUCUUUCAUUCUUGAAAAUUCAGUUUUGCCUGGAGAUGCUAGAAAUACCUGUAACCAGAUUUCAGAGCUACAUAUUUGUUAAUAGUAAGGCUAUCUCUCGCCAUAUGGAAAUUAUUUCAUCAGUGGCUUUGAGUGUCUGGUGCUGCACAAACAACUUUGUAUUUAAAACAAAAUCGACCAAGCCUAUAGAGAUGCCUGGGGGUGCUGUUAGUGCUAUUUACUAGCAGCCUCUGUGAUUAGAGAAGUUCUUGGUUAUUUCUAGGUAUGCCAGUUGACGUGUGCACUUUUUUGCAAGGUUCAAAAAAGCGCUGAGCGUUAAGCGAGCGGUGAGGCUCUGCCUAGAGGAACUACUGCUUAAGCGAGCUUAAGCGUCGCUUAAGCGUGCAGGGCAAAACAGGCAUAUGUAAGCCUAAAAUAGGAAAUAUUGAAUAACCUCACAUAGUUGUGUGUUGUUUCUGGUCCAACAAAAUGCCCGACAAGAUGCCUCUUACUUCUCAGGUCGUAGCCAAACACAUUGAUCCCCUCCAAAAGGCCCAAUAACCUCACGGACUGCAAAUAAAUCGAUCCCCUCCUGCAUCCCUGCCUCCCAGGUCCCAGGUCGUAGCCGCCACGCACGCCCGCCUUUCUCACUUUGAUCUCCUCGAUCUGGACUGGAAGGGGACGAGGGAACAAGCUGCUAGAGGAAUGGGACCCUGUCUAGGCGGCCUUGAGGAAGAUCUAGAGGGCAGCGUGGACGAGGAGCUUGACCAGCGGCGCGGAGGAGCUCCAAUGGUGUCGCCUCUUGCUUCCGCGCCUCGACACGGGAGUGGAAUUGGGAUGAGUACGGGAUUCCUAACCCUAACCCUCUUCUUUCUGCCUGAGAUCCCACCUCCGCAGCUCCUCCUCGCUUUUUCUCUCGCUCAGGCCGAAAGCUGAGCGGAAAGGCUCCGCUUAGCUCUAAUCUACGCUUAAGCGUACGCUCAGGAACGCUUUUUUGAACCAUGCUUUUUUGUAUGGAUAUUCGUUCUCUUAACAUCUUGCAUUUUCUAUGAGUGAAUCCUCUAUUUUUUGACUGACUAAUGUUGUCUUUUGCUGUAGCUUCCUACAAAGGUUUACUUUCUAAAGGAUCACAAUAUUUCUGUUUAUUUAUAAGUAGGAAUAUUUGGUGACAGUAGAUUUGAGAUCGCUCAUUGUGCGGUACAAGUACUGUCACUGGCGUUCACUAGCAGAUCUGUUUUUUUGUAUAAAAAAUGUGUAGGUACUUUAUAACUCUUCGUUUUGUUUGUAUAAAUACCAUGUAGUUGUUCCAGGAGCAAUGUUUGAGUUUAAGUAUGUUGGCUUGGAUGUAUGUGUAACAUCUAUGACCAUAAAAAAGUAACAUCUAUUCAACUUGCUGUGUUCGCGUACAGUUCACGUACUGCACAAUUUUUCUCUUCAAAAAUUCACUCAACAAAGAUUGAACUCUGCCUUACAAGUUACAUAUGUAAACAUACGGAUACAGACUCUGCCCGAGGUCCACACCACCCCUGCUUCUACAACCAGCAUGAGCCUGAGCUCUCCUCCGGCCCCUGAUUCAGCAGCUAGCAAGAGCCGGAGCUACCCUAGUCUGAAUUCGACAGGAAGCCAAGGUAGUAAUGCAGUCCACGACACCACACCAUCGUUCUCACAAGUCGAGCGCAAGAGGAUGGCUGAGGCAGCGCUCGCUCUGCCUACAAAAAUACA